rnacentral:rRNA from 1 species
AUUGAACGCUGGCGGCAGGCUUAACACAUGCAAGUCGAGCGAGCGGCGGACGGGUGAGUAAUGUCUGGGAAACUGCCUGAUGGAGGGGGAUAACUACUGGAAACGGUAGCUAAUACCGCAUACAAUCAGAUGUGCCGAGAUGGGACUAGGUAGUAGGUGUGGUAAUGGCUCGCCUAGGCGACGAUCCCUAGCUGGUCUGAGAGGAUGACCAGCCACCCUGGAACGGAGACACGGUCCAGACUCCUACGGGAAGCAGCAGCGGGGAAUAUUGAAAAAUGGGCGCAAGCCUUAUGCAGCCGUGGCGCGUGUGUGAAGAAGGCCUUCGGGUUGUAAAGCCCUUUCAGCGCGGAGGCGUUACGCGCAGAAGAAGCACCGGCUAACUCCGUGCCAGCCGCCGCGGUAAUAC